AUUGAACGCUGGCGGCAUGCCUUACACAUGCAAGUCGAACGGCAGCGCGGACUUCGGUCUGGCGGCGAGUGGCGAACGGGUGAGUAAUGCAUCGGAACGUACCUUUCAGUGGGGGAUAACGUAGCGAAAGUUACGCUAAUACCGCCUAUUCUGUGAGCAGGAAAGCAGGGGAUCGCAAGACCUUGCGCUGAUUGAGCGGCCGAUGUCAGAUUAGCUAGUUGGGGAGGUAAAGGCUCACCAAGGCGACGAUCUGUAACGGGUGUGAGAGGAUGAUCCGCCUCACUGGGACUGAGACACGGCCCAGACUCCUACGGGAGGCAGCAGUGGGGAAUUUUGGACAAUGGGGGCAACCCUGAUCCAGCCAUGCCGCGUGAGUGAAGAAGGCCUUCGGGUUGUAAAGCUCUUUCGGCCGGGAAGAAAUCGCAUGGGUUAAUACCCUGUGUGGAUGACGGUACCGGAAUAAGAAGCACCGGCUAACUACGUGCCAGCAGCCGCCGUAAUAC
rnacentral:rRNA from 1 species